UACACACGGAUAACAUACCGAAAGGUAUGCUAAUACGGGAUAAUAUAUUUGAGAGGCAUCUCUUAAAUAUCAAAGGUGAGCCAGUACAGGAUGGACCCGCGUCUGAUUAGCUAGUUGGUAAGGUAACGGCUUACCAAGGCGACGAUCAGUAGCCGACCUGAGAGGGUGAUCGGCCACAUUGGAACUGAGACACGGUCCAAACUCCUACGGGAGGCAGCAGUGGGGAAUAUUGCACAAUGGGCGAAAGCCUGAUGCAGCAACGCCGCGUGAGUGAUGAAGGCCUUCGGGUCGUAAAACUCUGUCCUCAAGGAAGAUAAUGACGGUACUUGAGGAGGAAGCCCCGGCUAACUACGUGCCAGCAGCCGCGGUAAUACGUAGGGGGCUAGCGUUAUCCGGAUUUACUGGGCGUAAAGGGUGCGUAGGCGGUCUUUCAAGUCAGGAGUGAGAGGCUACGGCUCAACCGUAGUAAGCUCUUGAAACUGGGAGACUUGAGUGCAGGAGAGGAGAGUGGAAUUCCUAGUGUAGCGGUGAAAUGCGUAGAUAUUAGGAGGAACACCAGUUGCGAAGGCGGCUCUCUGGACUGUAACUGACGCUGAGGCACGAAAGCGUGGGGAGCAAACAGGAUUAGAUACCCUGGUAGUCCACGCUGUAAACGAUGAAUACUAGGUGUCGGGGGUUACCCCCUUCGGUGCCGCAGC
rnacentral:rRNA from 1 species